rnacentral:lncRNA from 1 species
CGUCACUCCACAAAAAUCGUGAGCGGGGCCCUUCCCUCCUCCCAGGGAGAGAGGAGCGGGGGGUUUGGAGAGUCUCCCAGACAGGAGGGCGGGUGGAAUGUAGGUCAACUCCUGGCUGCCGGAAAGAGUGAUGUCAUCCACUCCUUGGGGGGAACGACGGAGGAAGCGGUGAGUUUGGGUGAGCAAGCCAGGGAUGGUGCUGGAGCUGGGCAGGGAGGAGGAGGCCCCAGGGCUGGCUCUCUGCAAAGGCAAAGCCCCACGGGGAUUUCAGAGUGUUCACAGCAAUGGCUCUGAACUGGGGUGGGCAGGUGCUGGGCUGGGAGAGCUAGUCCCCAACUUGUCUCAAAGCACCUCUUUGCAGGACCAUGGGGGUUCCUGGUCAUUAAUCACAUUGCCUGGUCCUUCUUUCCUGGGAAGUCCCAACACCCCCGAGGGAAGGACCAGGCCCAGGUGGUAGCCCAGAGAGGCCCAUUUCUCACACAAGGAAAACAGGAGAAGGAGCAGGGUGUGAUGGUGGAAGGGUGGGAGGCGACAAGGGUGGGUGCUAGCAAGCCCAGCUGGUCCUGCCUCUCUGCCUCCUAGCGCCUAUAUUCCAGUCUCUUUCUUCUCUGGAAAGAGUUCCAGAUAGUAAGACUUCUUUGUUCAUGUAAGUUCAUUUGUUCCCUAGGCCAGCCCGAGAGACCCAGCCUUUGGGGUGGCUGAUCUUG